UACAGAGGUGGCAAGCGUUGUUCGGAAUUACUGGGCGUAAAGGGCGCGUAGGCGGUCUUGUAAGUCUUGUGUGAAAUCCCUCGGCUCAACUGAGGAACUGCACGGGAUACUGCGAGACUUGAGUUCGGGAGAGGGAAGCGGAAUUCCCGGUGUAGUGGUGAAAUGCGUAGAUAUCGGGAGGAACACCAGUGGCGAAGGCGACUACCUGGCCUGUUCUUGACGCUGAGGCGCGAAAGCUAGGGGAGCAAACGGGG
rnacentral:rRNA from 1 species